rnacentral:rRNA from 1 species
UGGCUCAGAACGAACGCUGGCGGCGUGGAUAAGACAUGCAAGUCGAACGAGAGAAUUGCUAGCUUGCUAAUAAUUCUCUAGUGGCGCACGGGUGAGUAACACGUGAGUAACCUGCCCCCGAGAGCGGGAUAGCCCUGGGAAACUGGGAUUAAUACCGCAUAGUAUCGAAAGAUUAAAGCAGCAAUGCGCUUGGGGAUGGGCUCGCGGCCUAUUAGUUAGUUGGUGAGGUAACGGCUCACCAAGGCGAUGACGGGUAGCCGGUCUGAGAGGAUGUCCGGCCACACUGGAACUGAGACACGGUCCAGACACCUACGGGUGGCAGCAGUCGAGAAUCAUUCACAAUGGGGGAAACCCUGAUGGUGCGACGCCGCGUGGGGGAAUGAAGGUCUUCGGAUUGUAAACCCCUGUCAUGUGGGAGCAAAUUAAAAAGAUAGUACCACAAGAGGAAGAGACGGCUAACUCUGUGCCAGCAGCCGCGGUAAUACAGAGGUCUCAAGCGUUAUUCGGAAUCACUGGGCGUAAAGCGUGCGUAGGCUGUUUCGUAAGUCGUGUGUGAAAGGCGCGGGCUCAACCCGCGGACGGCACAUGAUACUGCGAGACUAGAGUAAUGGAGGGGGAACCGGAAUUCUCGGUGUAGCAGUGAAAUGCGUAGAUAUCGAGAGGAACACUCGUGGCGAAGGCGGGUUCCUGGACAUUAACUGACGCUGAGGCACGAAGGCCAGGGGAGCGAAAGGGAUUAGAUACCCCUGUAGUCUUGGCAGUAAACGGUGCACGCUUGGUGUGCGGGGAAUCGACCCCCUGCGUGCCGGAGCUAACGCGUUAAGCGUGCCGCCUGGGGAGUACGGUCGCAAGAUUAAAACUCAAAGAAAUAGACGGGGACCCGCACAAGCGGUGGAGUAUGUGGCUUAAUUCGAUGCAACGCGAAGAACCUUACCUGGGCUUGACAUGUAAUGAACAACAUGUGAAAGCAUGCGACUCUUCGGAGGCGUUACACAGGUGCUGCAUGGCCGUCGUCAGCUCGUGUCGUGAGAUGUUUGGUUAAGUCCAGCAACGAGCGCAACCCCUGUUGCCAGUUACCAGCACGUGAAGGUGGGGACUCUGGCGAGACUGCCCAGAUCAACUGGGAGGAAGGUGGGGAGGACGUCAGGUCAGUAUGGCCCUUAUGCCCAGGGCUGCACACGUACUACAAUGCCCAGUACAGAGGGGGCGGAAGCCGCGAGGCGGAGGAAAUCCUGAAAACUGGGCCCAGUUCGGACUGUAGGCUGCAACCCGCCUACACGAAGCCGGAAUCGCUAGUAAUGGCGCAUCAGCUACGGCGCCGUGAAUAAGUUCCCGGGUCUUGUACA